UACGUAGGGGGCAAGCGUUGUCCGGAAUCAUUGGGCGUAAAGCGCGCGCAGGCGGUUCAGCAAGUCUGAUGUGAAAUCUCCACAGCUCACCUGGGAGACGCCAUUGGAAACUGCUGAACUUGAGGUCCGGAGAGGUCGGCGGAAUUCCCGGUGUAGCGGUGGAAUGCGUAGAUAUCGGGAGGAACACCUGUGGCGAAGGCGGACCCCUGGUUCGGAUACUGACGCUGAUACGCGAAAGCGUGGGGAGC
rnacentral:rRNA from 1 species